rnacentral:sRNA from 1 species
GCCGGGCACAGUGGCGCACUCCUGUAAUCCCAGCCGCUUAGGAGGCUGAGGCAGGAGGAUUGCGAGUUCAAAGCCAGCCUCAGCAAAAGUAAGGUGCUAAGCAACUCAGUGAGACCCUGUCUCUA